rnacentral:rRNA from 1 species
UACGUAGGGGGGCAAGCGUUUGUCCCGGAAUUAUUGGGCGUAAAGAGCGCGUAGGCGGUCCGAUAAGUCGGCUGUGAAAGUCAGGGGGCUCAACCCCUUGAAAAGCCGGCCGAUACUGUCGGACUAGAGUCCGGAAGAGGCAAGUGGAAUUCCCCGGUGUAGCGGUGAAAUGCGCAGAUAUCGGGAGGAACACCGGUGGCGAAGGCGGGGUCUCUGGACAGUUCCUGACGCUGAGGCACGAAGGCCAGGGGAGCAAACGGG